CCCUUAGAUGUCCUGGGCCGCACGCGCGUUACACUGAUGCAUUCAACGAGCUUAUAACCUUGGCCGAGAGGCCUGGGCAAUCUUGUUAACGUGCAUCGUGAUAGGGAUAGAUUAUUGAAAUUAUUAAUCUUGAACGAGGAAUUCCUAGUAAACGCAGAUCAUCAAUCUGCAUUGAUUACGUCCCUGCCCUUUGUACACACCGCCCGUCGCACCUACCGAUUGGAUGGUCCGGUGAAGCCUCGGGAUUGUGGUUCUUGCCGCUAUAUUGUGGCGUGACCGCGAGAACUUGUCUAAACCUUAUCAUCUAGAGGAAGGUGAAGUCGUAACA
rnacentral:rRNA from 1 species